AAUGAGGAUCAAGGAACGAGUUACAAGAGUCAACAAGUUGAUAUCAAAGGAGUUGGUGGCCCCAUGACAAGGGCUAGGGUGAAGAAAUUAAGGGAAAAUCUUGAAGAUCAAAUCUCAUUAUUUUGGACACCAAGAUUGUUCCCAAUAAUAAUCCAUACUAUCUUACACUUUCUUUAGUGAAUCUUGUUUGUAAUAAAUAGUUUAGUUUUAAAAUUUAGAUUACUUUUAAUUUGGAGUUGUAUAAUGCUCCUUGUUUUUCUAGUUCCUUAUUGGGCCUUAUAGGUGAUGGCCAAUGAGUAGGUAUAAAUAACAACUUUGUUAUCAUUUUGAAGGAGGUUAAUACAAUUUGAUAUUUUCAAUCUUUGAUUGAAGGGAGAGUUAGAAUUGCUCUUCUAGGUUCUUGGAUGAACCAAUUCUAGAUCCUUAUCAAGAGCAUCUUAUUCUUGUGGCGGAUCCGCGAUUCGAUCUUAUCGUUCAUCUUGAAUGUGGCGAUCGUUCUUCCCACUUCUCAUCUAAUUCCAUUUGUAUGUUUUCUUUCUAUUCCUAGUUUGGUCAAUUUUCUUAGAUUUUCUAUCAUUUUCCUUCAUUUUCUAUCUCAAUUCAAGAAAUUUACACUUAGGUCAAAGAUCCUUGUAUGGUGAAUCCUUCUUGGAUCCACAUCAAGUGGUAUCAGAGCACUUAUAAAAAACAUUCCUCAAACAAAGACUCCUCGCAUUGGAAGGAAAAGCACAAGAAGGAAGAAUUAUCCACAUUGGCUUCUGCCAAAGAAGGUAAGUCUUCUAAAUAUAAAGACCCACCUCCUAAUUCUUCUCAUUCCUCAAUUAAAUGUUUCAAAUGUUUGGGAAGAGGUCACAUAGCAUCAAAUUGCCCUAAUAAAAGGUCUAUGAUUUCAUUAGGUAAAGAUUUGUAUGAAACCGCUUCCUCUUCAUCUCAUUCUUCUUCACAUUCAUCUUCAAGUGACAAUGAAAUUGAAUGUGAAGUAGCUCCUGUUGAAGGAGAUUUGCUUAUGGUUAGAAGACUCCUUGGAGUCCAGAUUAAGGAUAAUGAUAAUUCUCAAAGGGAAAACAUUUUUCAUACUAGAUGCCUAGUUAGUGGAAAAGUCUGCUCUUUGAUUAUUGACAGUGGUAGUUGUACAAAUGUGGCUAGCACUAGAUUAGUCACAAAACUUGGUUUGGAAACAACCCCACAUCCACGGCCAUAUAAGCUUCAAUGGCUAAAGGAAGGUGUGGAACUUUUAGUAGAUAAACAGGUUUUGGUUAAUUUUAGCAUAGGCAAAUAUAAUGAUGAGAUAUUAUGUGAUGUAGUGCCUAUGGAAGCUGGCCACAUCUUGUUGGGGCGACCUUGGCAAUUUGAUAGAAAUGUUUUUCAUGAUGGAAAAGCUAACACUUUCACUUUUGUUCAUAAAAAGCAUAAAAUAUCUCUUUUACCUCUUAGUCCCAAGGAAAUUUGUCAAGAUGAAUUGACCUUGAAACUAAAAAGGGAAAAGGAGAUUAAAGAGAAAAGUGGCAAAUCCAUCAUGCAUGCUAAUGAAUCGCAUAAUCAUGACCCCACACCUAGAGUUGAAAGUUUGUUUAUUAGAGAGCAUGUGGUUGGGAAAGCUUUAUUGAGUAGAAAACCUAUAUACUUUCUUUAUUGCAAUGAUUUGUGUUUGUCUGCCUCACAUGAUGUUAUUCCUUCUUCCUUGAAUUACCUUUUGAAAGAUUUUGCUGAUGUGUUCCCUAAGGAACUCCCUCAUGGCCUACCUCCUCUUAGAGGCAUUGAACACCACAUUGAUUUGAUUCCUAGUGCUUCUUUGCCUAACAGGCCUCCUUAUAGGAGUAAUCCGGAACAAACUAAAGAAAUUGAAACACAAGUCCAUAAACUUUUGGAAAAUGGUUGGUUUCAAGAUAGCCUAAGUCCUUGUGCCAUGCCGGUAAUUUUGGUACCAAAGAAAGAUGGUACAUGGCGCAUGUGCACCAAUUGUCGUGCCAUUAAUAACAUCACCAUCAAGUAUAGGCAUCCUAUUCCUAGGCUUGAUGAUAUGUUAGAUGAGUUACAUGGUGCGUGUGUCUUUUCCAAAAUUGACUUAAAAAGUGGUUAUCAUCAAAUUCGAAUUAGAGAAGGGGAUGAGUGGAAAACAGCCUUUAAAACUAAAUUUGGCCUUUAUGAGUGGCUAGUGAUGCCAUUCGGUCUAACCAAUGCCCCUAGUACUUUUAUGCGAUUGAUGAACCAUAUUUUAAGGCAUUUCAUUGGAAAAUUUGUUGUAGUUUACUUUGAUGACAUUCUUGUGUAUAGCUUGAAUUUGAAUGAUCAUAUUGAACAUUUGCGAAGUGUAUUGCUAGUUUUGAGCAUAGUUUUAAAAACCGGACCGGACCGGUCGGUCCGACCGUUAACCGGUGAGGUGUCCGGUUCGAGCUUCUCAUUGGAUCGGUCAUGCAAUCAGACCGGCAUAAACCAGCACGACUCGAUAAAAACCGGUCAAAACCGGUGACUCGGUCGGUUUAAAGAACCGGCCGGUCCAAUGUUUAACAUUCUCAGGAAAGGAAAAAAAAAAUGGAAGAAGAAAGGUUUGGGGAUUUUGGUCUUAAGCUGCGAUUGGAAAGAGAGAAGUAACUGAAACCGCAUAUGAAUUCCCUUGCAGAUUUUUGUUGAAAGCUCCAUUGAAGACUCAAACAAGCAUAGAAUGGAAUGAGAAAGAAAAGUUAUAUUGUUGCUAUGUUAUGCCAUGCGGCGGCUAAUGUUCAUGGUUUGUGUUAUAGCUAUAUCUUUAGGUUUUCACUUUGUGGUGUAUAAUGGGCUACUCAAAUAAGCCCAAUUGUAAUGUUUCUAAGAACCUGCAAUUACAAAAGUGUCUAACCAAAAAUAUAAAGCAAUGUUAUUUAUUUAUAUAUUUGUGAAUAAUUAUAUAUUUAUAUUUUUUAAAAGGCAAUGUAAUGUUUUUGACAAUUACAAGUUAACAUUAAUUUUUUAUAAAGUAUAAAUCUAGUUUGAUAUGUAUUUUAAUCUAGUUAAAUACCUAUAAAUAUUUAAUCUUAAGACCGAGUCAUUUAACCGAGUUAUCCGAUUUAAUCCGAUUCAGUCAUGCAGUUCAACCAGUGACCCAGUGAUUCGACCAUUGACCCAGUGACCCGGUACCCCUACCGAGUCGAUGACCGAGCCGAGUUUUAAAACUAUGGUUUUGAGGGAUGAAAAAUUAUAUGCUAAUUUUGAAAAGUGUACUUUUUGUAAAAGUGAAGUGAUAUUCCUAGGCUCUGUAGUAAGUGCUCAAGGUGUCAAAGUUGAUGAGGAAAAGAUCAAGGCUAUCAAGGAUUGGCCGCGGCCUAAGCGUAUGAGUGAAGUGAGGAGCUUUCAUGGCUUAGCUAGUUUCUAUAGGCGUUUUGUACCUAAUUUUAGCACUUUGGCUGCUCCCUUAAAUGAAAUUGUGAAAAAGAAUGUGGUAUUUUCAUGGGGUAAAGAACAAGAAGAGGCUUUCAAUGCUCUUAAGGAUAUAUUGAUGAAUGCCCCUGUUUUGUCUUUGCCUAAUUUUGAAAAACUUUUGAAAUUGAAUGUGAUGCAUCUAACAUUGGCAUAGGGGCUGUUUUGUUACAAGAAGGGCAUCCCAUUGCUUAUUUUAGUGAAAAAUUAAGUGGAGCACAUGCUAACUAUUCCACUUAUGACAAAGAGCUGUAUGCCUUAGUUAGAGCAUUACAUACUUGGCAACAUUAUUUGUUUCCUAAGGAGUUUGUUAUCCAUAGUGAUCACGAGUCCUUAAAGUAUCUCAAAGGUCAAGGUAAACUAAGCAAAAGACAUGCCAAAUGGGUUGAAUUUUUGGAGCAGUUUCCAUAUGUCAUAAAGCACAAGAAAAGUAAAGCUAAUGUGGUGGCGGAUGCUCUUUCAAGGAGGUACUCUUUAAUCUCUACUCUUCAAACUAGACUUCUAGGCUUUGAACAUAUUAGAAAUUUAUAUGCUGUUGAUGAGGAUUUUGCUGGUAUUUUCCUUGAUUGUGAAUUGAUGUCACAUGAUAGCUUCUUUAGACAUGAUGGAUAUUUGUUUAAUGGCAGUCGCUUAUGCAUUCCUAAGUGCUCUUUGCGUGAAUUACUUGUGAGGGAAGUGCAUGAGGGCGGAUUGAUGGGACAUUUUGGGGAACAUAAGACAUAUGACAUGCUGCAUGAUCACUUUUAUUGGCCAAAAAUGAAGCAUGACAUACAUUUAAUUUGUUCUAGGUGUAUUGUUUAUAAAAGAGCCAAAUCAAAGGCAAUGCCACAUGGUUUAUACACUCCCCUUCCCAUUCCCUCUUCUCCUUGGGUUGACCUAUCCAUGGACUUUGUUUUGGGGCUGCCCAAAAACAAGUUUGGUCGUGAUUCUAUUUUUGUUGUUGUGGAUAGAUUUUCAAAAAUGGCACAUUUUAUUCCUUGUCACAAGGUGGAUGAUUCUUGUCAUAUUGCAAAUUUAUUUUUUAAAGAGGUUGUUAGAUUGCAUGGCAUUCCAAAAUCCAUUGUGUCGGAUAGAGAUUCUAAGUUUUUGAGUCAUUUUUGGAAGACUUUGUGGGCUAAGUUAGGCACCAAGCUUCUAUUUUCCACUACAUGCCACCCUCAAACCGAUGGGCAAACUGAAGUGGUUAAUAGAACACUUGGCACCUUACUUAGAACAUUUUUAAAAUCAAAUUUGAAAUCUUGGGAAGAAUGUUUGCCUUUUAUUGAGUUUGCAUAUAACAGGGUGCCACAUAAUACUACUUCUUUCUCACCUUUUGAGAUUGCUUAUGGUUUUAAACCACUUACUCCACUUGAUUUACUUCCUUUGCCUAUUAGUACUGAUCUGGUGCAUAAAGAUGCAGAGGCUAGGGCCAAGUAUGUUCAGGAUUUGCAUGCUCAAGUAAAAAGCAACAUUGAAAAGAAGAUUGAGCACUAUGCUAGAAGUGCCAACAAGAGUAAGAAACGAAUGGUCUUUGAACCAGGUGAUUGGGUUUGGGUACAUCUCAGGAAGGAAAGAUUUCCUUCUCUAAGGAAAUCCAAACUGUAGCCAAGGGGUGAUGGUCCUUUUCAAGUGCUAGAGCGCUUUAAUGACAAUGCUUACAAGCUUGACCUCCCCGGUGAGUAUACUGUUAGUGCCACUUUUAAUGUUAGUGACUUGUCUCCUUUUGAUGUAGGUGAUGAGCCAUUAAAUUCGAGGACGAAUUGUCUUGAAGAGGGGGAGCAUAAUAAGGAUCAAGGAACGAGUUACAAGAGUCAACAAGUUGAUAUCAAAGGAGUUGGUGGCCCCAUGACAAGGGCUAGGGUGAAGAAAUUAAGGGAAAAUCUUGAAGAUCAAAUCUCAUUAUUUUUGGACACCAAGAUUGUUCCCAUAAUAAUCCAUACUAUCUUACACUUUCUUUAGUGAAUCUUGUUUGUAAUAAAUAGUUUAGUUUUAAAAUUUAGAUUACUUUUAAUUUGGAGUUGUAUAAUGCUCCUUGUUUUUCUAGUUCCUUAUUGGGCCUUAUAGGUGAUGGCCAAUGAGUAGGUAUAAAUAACAACUUUGUUAUCAUUUUGAAGGAGGUUAAUACAAUUUGAUAUUUUCAAUCUUUGAUUGAAGGGAGAGUUAGAAUUGCUCUUCUAGGUUCUUGGAUGAACCAAUUCUAGAUCCUUAUCAAGAGCAUCUUAUUCUUGUGGCGGAUCCGCGAUUCGAUCUUAUCGUUCAUCUUGAAUGUGGCGAUCGUUCUUCCCACUUCUCAUCUAAUUCCAUUUGUAUGUUUUCUUUCUAUUCCUAGUUUGGUCAAUUUUCUUAGAUUUUCUAUCAUUUUCCUUCAUUUUCUAUCUCAAUUCAAGAAAUUUACACUUAGGUCAAAGAUCCUUGUAUG
rnacentral:lncRNA from 1 species